rnacentral:rRNA from 1 species
GCAUGGCGGCAGCUACCAUGCAGUCGAGCGGAACGAGAGAAAGCUUGCUUUCUCGUCGUCGAGCGGCGGACGGGUGAGUAAAGCCUGGGAAAUUGCCCUGAUGUGGGGGAUAACCAUUGGAAACGAUGGCUAAUACCGCAUGAUGUCUACGGACCAAAGAGGGGGACCUUCGGGCCUCUCGCGUCAGGAUAUGCCCAGGUGGGAUUAGCUAGUUGGUGAGGUAAUGGCUCACCAAGGCGACGAUCCCUAGCUGGUCUGAGAGGAUGAUCAGCCACACUGGAACUGAGACACGGUCCAGACUCCUACGGGAGGCAGCAGUGGGGAAUAUUGCACAAUGGGCGCAAGCCUGAUGCAGCCAUGCCGCGUGUAUGAAGAAGGCCUUCGGGUUGUAAAGUACUUUCAGCAGUGAGGAAGGAUGUAGUUUUAACAGAGCUGCAUUUUGACGUUAGCUGCAGAAGAAGCACCGGCUAACUCCGUGCCAGCAGCCGCGGUAAUACGGAGGGUGCGAGCGUUAAUCGGAAUUACUGGGCGUAAAGCGCAUGCAGGUGGUCUGUUAAGUCAGAUGUGAAAGCCCGGGGCUUAACCCCGGAGUUGCAUUUGAAACUGGCAGGCUAGAGUACUGUAGAGGGGGGUAGAAUUUCAGGUGUAGCGGUGAAAUGCGUAGAGAUCUGAAGGAAUACCGGUGGCGAAGGCGGCCCCCUGGACAGAUACUGACACUCAGAUGCGAAAGCGUGGGGAGCAAACAGGAUUAGAUACCCUGGUAGUCCACGCCGUAAACGAUGUCUACUUGGAGGUUGUGACCUAGAGUCGUGGCUUUCGGAGCUAACGCGUUAAGUAGACCGCCUGGGGAGUACGGUCGCAAGAUUAAAACUCAAAUGAAUUGACGGGGGCCCGCACAAGCGGUGGAGCAUGUGGUUUAAUUCGAUGCAACGCGAAGAACCUUACCUACUCUUGACAUCCAGAGAAGCCGGAAGAGAUUCUGGUGUGCCUUCGGGAGCUCUGAGACAGGUGCUGCAUGGCUGUCGUCAGCUCGUGUUGUGAAAUGUUGGGUUAAGUCCCGCAACGAGCGCAACCCUUAUCCUUGAUUGCCAGCACUUCGGGUGGGAACUUCAGGAAGACUGC